CCUACGGGUGGCAGCAGUAGGGAAUAUUGCUCAAUGGGGGAAACCCUGAAGCAGCAACGCCGCGUGUGGGAUGAAGGUUUUCGGAUUGUAAACCCCUUUUGUUAGGGAAGAAAAUGACGGUAUCUAACGAAUAAGCACCGGCUAACUCCGUGCCAGCAGCCGCGGUAAUACGGAGGGUGCAAGCGUUAGACGGAAUUACUGGGAGUAAAGGGCGCGUAGGCGGGAUGGCAAGUCAGAUGUGAAAGCCUAUGGCUUAACCAUAGAACUGCAUUUGAAACUGGUAUUCUAGAGUGUGGGAGAGGUAGGUGGAAUUCUUGGUGUAGGGGUAAAAUGCGUAGAGAUCAAGAGGAAGACUCAUUGCGAAGGCGACCUGCUAGAACAUAACUGACGCUGAUGCGCGAAAGCGUGGGGAGCAAACAGGAUUAGAUACCCGAGUAGUC
rnacentral:rRNA from 1 species